GACGAACGCUGGCGGCGUGCUUAACACAUGCAAGUCGAACGGAGCGAAUGAAAGCUUGCUUUUAUGAGCUUAGUGGCAAACGGGUGAGUAACACGUAGACAACCUGCCGACAGGAUGGGGACAACAUUCCGAAAGGAAUGCUAAUACCGAAUGAAGCGGAGGAGAGGCAUCUCUCCUCCGUGAAAGAUGGCCUCUAUUUAUAAGCUAUCACCUGUCGAUGGGUCUGCGUCUGAUUAGCUAGUUGGUGAGGUAACGGCUCACCAAGGCGACGAUCAGUAGCCGGUCUGAGAGGAUGAACGGCCACAUUGGGACUGAGACACGGCCCAGACUCCUACGGGAGGCAGCAGUGGGGAAUCUUCCGCAAUGGGCGCAAGCCUGACGGAGCAACGCCGCGUGAGUGAAGAAGGUCUUCGGAUCGUAAAGCUCUGUUGACGGGGACGAACGUGCGAGAGGUGAAUAAUC
rnacentral:rRNA from 1 species